AAAAUACCAUUAAUUUUUAUGAACCCCUAAUUUAUAAUGAAUGACUCCAUAUUUAUAUGGAAGACACCAUGCUAGGAUUAGUAACAAGAAUUUAUAAUUCUCCAAAAUGCAAAUAUAAACCAACAUGGAUAGACCAUUGGUAGUUACCGAACCUAAAUUUAAUGCAAUAACAUCCACAAGAAAACUCUGCAGCACUCACUCGUUAACCUAACACCAGCGCAUUACAGGAAAGAUUCAAAAAAAGAGAAGGAAUUCGGCAAAUGACGGCCCCGCCUGUUUACCAAAAACAUCGCCUCUUGACUUAUAAUAAGAGGUCUAGCCUGCCCAGUGAAUUUUAAACGGCCGCGGUAUCCUAACCGCGCGAAGGUAGCAUAAUCACUUGUUCUUUAAAUGGGGACUCGUAUCAACGGCAUCACGAGGGUUUUACUGUCUCCUCUUUUUGAUCAGUGAAAUUGAUCUUCCCGUGAAGAAGCGGGAAUAUUUUUAUAAGACGAGAAGACCCCAUGGAGCUUUAAACCAAAUAACAACUUAACCACUUAUCCCAUAAUAAAUUUAACCCCUGUUAUAAGGUUUUUGGUUGGGGUGACCGCGGAGUAAAGCACAUCCUCCACGACGGAAAGAAUAAAAUCUUUAUUUAAGAACCACACUUCUAGAAAUUAGUAUACUAACGUUUACUGACCCGACAAUCGAUCAACGGACCAAGUUACCCUGGGGAUAACAGCGCAAUCUACUUCGAGAGCUCAUAUCGACAAGUAGGCUUACGACCUCGAUGUUGGAUCAGGGUAUCCCGGUGGUGCAGCCGCUACCGAAGGUUCGUUUGUUCAACGAUUAAAACCCUAC
rnacentral:rRNA from 1 species